AUACGUAGGGUGCGAGCGUUGUCCGGAAUUACUGGGCGUAAAGAGCUCGUAGGUGGUUUGUCGCGUCGUCUGUGAAAUUCCGGGGCUUAACUCCGGGCGUGCAGGCGAUACGGGCAUAACUUGAGUACUGUAGGGGGGACUGGAAUUCCUGGUGUAGCGGUGAAAUGCGCAGAUAUCAGGAGGAACACCGGUGGCGAAGGCGGGUCUCUGGGCAGUAACUGACGCUGAGGAGCGAAAGCAUGGGUAGCGAACAGGAUUAGAUACCCUGGUAGUCCAUGCCGUAAACGGUGGGCGCUAGGUGUAGGGGUCUUCCACGACUUCCGUGCCGUAGCUAACGCAUUAAGCGCCCCGCCUGGGGAGUACGGCCGCAAGGCUAAAACUCAAAUGAAUUGACGGGG
rnacentral:rRNA from 1 species